rnacentral:rRNA from 1 species
CGUGUAGGCGGGUAUAUAAGUCAGAAGUGAAAUCCAAUAGCUUAACUAUUGAACUGCUUUUGAAACUGUAUACCUAGAAUGUGGGAGAGGUAGAUGGAAUUUCUGGUGUAGGGGUAAAAUCCGUAGAGAUCAGAAGGAAUACCGAUUGCGAAGGCGAUCUACUGGAACAUUAUUGACGCUGAGAUGCGAAAGCGUGGGGAGCAAACA